rnacentral:misc_RNA from 1 species
GUUGCAAUAAAAUGCAUGGAUAGAGCAAUCAGUACUCAAAUUUAAAAAAAAAAUGCAGAAUAUGAAAUGUCUAGAUCCUUAAAACAUAAUCCUUGAGGCACAUUGUCAGUUGAAAUCCUUAAUGGGAAUGAGUUCACAAGAUGAUCUUCAACAUCUCAUUCACUAAUUAGAGGGUAAAUUAUACCAAGUUCCACUGUUCCAAAACCUUAACGUUCACUCCAGCAGUAAUUUCCAAAGUAAG